CUCUCUCUCUCUCUCUCACCCCUCGCUUCCUCUUCCUCACAGCCAGGGGAUAGACAACAGCAGCAAACAACUGUAUGGCUCUGUAUUCCACAUAAAUAAUAUUAUAUUACGUAUGUUGUCAAAAACAGUGAUUUCAUUGGAUUUCUUCUUUGUUUUGUCGGAGUAAGUCAAUUAAGAAAUAAUUCUUAUUUACAAUGACGGCCUGUCCAGAGGUGGAGACAACAGUUAAAUAGAACAACACAACACACAGACGUCAAACAUUACAAGAGAUCAGCAUGACAGAUAUCCAUGGCAACUGCUAAGGAGUCAAGUAGGUUUGGAUGAGGAAGUUCAUUUGCAUCAUUUGCAUUAUAUUGCUCGUCACAUGGGUUGUAGGAAAACCUCGGAGCAAACAUGAAGAGGAAACAGGCAGGAAGAUGGAAGACUCGGGGAUUGAACCUCUGCCACUAGGAUCCGUCCUGAGUCCGGAGCACUACGCUACCACUAGUGUUCAAACUAGUCAUGGAACAGAUAGUCAUUAUUUUACAGUUCAACCUGCCCAGAGGUCCACAUGAAGGAGAAGCAAGGUAUGUUGGACCAGUUUUACUCACUAUUAAACUUGAGGGGCAGGUUUUCCAGACUCGUAUUAAGCCUAUUCCAAAAACGAAAACACUUUUAAUGGAGAUUCUCUAUUGAGAAUUUGUGGGAUCAUUUUUGGGGGGUAAACAUUUUAACACACGACAAUCUAUGCAGGAUAAUAUAAUUUAAAAUUGAGUAUGUACUAUAAAUCUCUGUAGGUUUACCAGAAGAUACUACCUGACGUCUCUUCCGGUAACAUCUACCACUCUAUACAAGGUAAAGACAGGAAGAGACGUACCGCUGUCAAGGGACAUUUCUUCAGCUCAGUAUUCAACAUUGUUGCUUAUUGUAACAUGGGGAAUAAACACUCAAAUGAGCAACCUGACCAGGCAGUCCCAGAACCCCUCUCUGGAGAGACCAACCCUCCUCCCAGCAUCACAACUCUUCCUGGUCCAGUCCAAUGUGAAGACAACCCCUCAGGUGAUCCUGGAGAGGUGGUCUACGACAUAGACACAUUUCCCAUCAGACAUCAGCCUCCUAUACCUGAACAUGGUGAUGACGUCUAGUCUGUGGGGCCUGCACCCUCUCAACCCCCUACCUUCUGACCAGGAAGAGGUGAAGAGGCUGAAAGACAUCACCGUCUUCAUCUGUAUUUGAUAGCUGAGUCAAUUUCUCAGAUUCAGAUUAUAUGAUUCACUAUUAUGAUGUCUUCACUAUUAUUCUACAAUGUAGAAAAAUAAA